CCCAUAAACCCCUCCCCAACCCUUACCAAGUACUGAAUGAUUCUAUAUUUUUAUGGAAAACCAUAUGCUAGAACUAGUAACAAGAAGAAGAACUUCUCCUUAAUGUAAGUGUAAGCCAAAAUGAACUAUCACCGGCAAUUAUCGUCAAUGAAUACAUAAUAUUAACCCCCCCCCCAAGAAAAACCUAUUAAACUUUACGUUAAUCUUACGCAAGAACAUUACAAGAAAGAUAAAAAGAAGAGGAAGGAACUCGGCAAACCAUACGACCCCGCCUGUUUACCAAAAACAUCACCUCAUGAUUAAAUAUAUGAGGCCCAGCCUGCCCAGUGACUAAUUCAACGGCCGCGGUACCCUAACCGUGCAAAGGUAGCACAAUCACUUGUUCAUUAAAUGUGGACUAGUAUGAACGGCAUCACGAGGGUUAUUCUGUCUCCCUCUUCCUAUCAAUGAAACUGAUCUGCCCGUGAAGAAGCGGACAUAAAAAUAUAAGACGAGAAGACCCCAUGGAGCUUUAAACUCAGAAACACCGCUGUAAACAAACCUUAAUAAUGAGCACCCUGAUUUCUAGUUUUCGGUUGGGGUGACCACGGAGAACAACAAAACCUCCAUGAUGAACGGACUUACCUCCUAAUCCAAGAGCAACAACUCUAAGAAUCAACACAUUGACAAAAAUGAUCCAAAAAUUUUGAUCAACGAACCAAGUUACCCUGGGGAUAACAGCGCAAUCCAUUUCAAGAGCUCUUAUCGACAAAUGGGUUUACGACCUCGAUGUUGGAUCAGGGUUCUCCAAGUGGUGCACCCGCUACUUAAGGUUCGUUUGUUCAACAAUUAAAACCC
rnacentral:rRNA from 1 species